rnacentral:misc_RNA from 1 species
AAUCUCCAAACCCUAAAAAAAUAAUUAGGGUUAUGAAUCUAGUUCUUUACACAUAAUCAGUAGAAUACAAAUGCAUUUUUCUUUACAUACCCAUUUCCACUAUUGACAUGACCAAUAUACACAACAAAACCUAUCUAAUUUAAUUUUAACACCAUCGUUUUUCAGAGAAUUAGCUUUAAUUAAACAAAUUUAUCCUAAUUCCCUGUCCCAUAAU